rnacentral:rRNA from 1 species
AUUGAAAGCUGGCGGCAGGCCUAACACAUGCAAGUCGAACGAGUGGCGGACGGGUGAGUAAUGUCUGGGAAACUGCCCGAUGGAGGGGGAUAACUACUGGAAACGGUAGAUAAUACCGCAUACCAUCGGAUGUGCCCAGAUGGGAUUAGCUAGUAGUUGGGGUAAAGGCUCACCUAGGCGACGAUCCCUAGCUGGUCUGAGAGGAUGUCCAGCCACACUGGAACUGGGACACGGGCCAAACUCCUACGGGAGGCAGCAGUGGAGAAUAAUGCACAGUGGGCGCAAGCCUGAUGCAGCCAUGCCGCGUGUAUGAAGAAGGCCUUCGGGUUGUAAAGUACUUUCAGCGGGGAGGCGUUACCCGCAGAAGGAGCACCGGCUAACUCCGUGCCAGCAGCCGCGGUAAUAC